AUAUAGACUCGUGACCUCUAUAAGGCGUCGAAUAGAUGUCUUACGGACGUCUGUACCCGUUAGGUUGAAACAAAAUGAUUUAUUGAUAAUUCAAAAUCAAUGCUCUCAGCAAGCUCACAUUUAAAUAAAAAAUGUCAAUCCAAAAAGACAUUGUUUGUCAGAGUUGAUGACAGAUAAUUUUCGAUUAGUCUUCUGAAUCUUUUCUCAUUAUAAGCAUAUGUAUAUGGAAGAAUCAAAUUGAUUUUGUCGAGUAUAGAAAAUAAAGGAAAACACGAUGUCAUUUUUUUCUUCAUUAAAAAUUUGUAGUUCAGUCGCCAUUGCAUGAAAUUUUGAUGCAUACACAUCUUUGAAAGAAGAGCCGACGCAAAUAAAUUUCAACUGGAUUGGUAGUGCCUUACGGUUUUAUAUGAAAUCAUUUUUAAUGUAUAAAAAUCAAAUCUAAAUUGCUCCACAUGUUUAAUCAGUUACUUUAUAAUUUUUUUUUCUCGUUUAAAAAAAACAUCGUGUACCGUUUCUAAAGUCGUUGUAGUUUUAUGAACAUCUGUCACUGUAUAGUCACAGUAGUUUAGUAACACGAAGUAAGCGACUGUAUAGUGCAUUAUCAAACCAAGGUAAGGUGCAUUAUCAAACCAAGGGAAAGAACUUUACGGUGCAUUAUCAAACCAAGGGAAAGAACUUUACGGUAAGGUGCAUUAUCAAACCAAGUUGAAUGACCAAACCUGGGGAACGGUUGCCAACAAUAGAACAUUAAUGUCACAUACAGCAAAAUUUGAUUUGGUCGAUAAUUUGAAAGACGAUUGUUUAAAGAGAAUAACAGAAUAAAUGGCUUAAUACAAUAGCAAAAAAAACUACUUUACUAUGUUUUUGUAUGCUUAAAUUGUACAUAAACACAAAAUGUUAAAACUUUUAGUUAUUUA